rnacentral:rRNA from 1 species
AUUGAACGCUGGCGGAAUGCUUUACACAUGCAAGUCGAACGGCAGCACGGACUUCGAUCGGGUGGCGAGUGGCGAACGGGUGAGUAAUGUAUCGGAACGUGCCCAGUCGUGGGGGAUAACGUAGUGAAAAUUACGCUAAUACCGCAUACGAUCUAUGGAUGAAAGCAGGGGGAUCGCAAGACCUCGCGCGAUUGGAGCGGCCGAUAUCAGAUUAGGUAGUUGGUGGGGUAAAGGCCCACCAAGCCAACGAUCUGUAGCUGGUCUGAGAGGACGACCAGCCACACUGGAACUGAGACACGGUCCAGACUCCUACGGGAGGCAGCAGUGGGGAAUUUUGGACAAUGGGCGAAAGCCUGAUCCAGCCAUUCCGCGUGCAGGAUGAAGGCCCUCGGGUUGUAAACUGCUUUUGUACAGAACGAAAAGGUUUCUACUAAUACUAGGAGCUCAUGACGGUACUGUAAGAAUAAGCACCGGCUAACUACGUGCCAGCCGCCGCGGUAA